UUUUCAUCAGACAAUCUGUGUGAGCACUGCAAAGUACGCUUCUUUAAGGUAAGGAGGUGAUCCAACCGCAGGUUCCCCUACGGUUACCUUGUUACGACUUCACCCCAGUCAUGAAUCACAAAGUGGUAAGCGCCCUCCCGAAGGUUAAGCUACCUACUUCUUUUGCAACCCACUCCCAUGGUGUGACGNNNNNNNNNNNNNNNNNNNNGCGGUGUGUACAAGGCCCGGGAACGUAUUCACCGUGGCAUUCUGAUCCACGAUUACUAGCGAUUCCGACUUCAUGGAGUCGAGUUGCAGACUCCAAUCCGGACUACGACGCACUUUAUGAGGUCCGCUUGCUCUCGCGAGGUCGCUUCUCUUUGUAUGCGCCAUUGUAGCACGUGUGUAGCCCUGGUCGUAAGGGCCAUGAUGACUUGACGUCAUCCCCACCUUCCUCCAGUUUAUCACUGGCAGUCUCCUUUGAGUUCCCGGCCGGACCGCUGGCAACAAAGGAUAAGGGUUGCGCUCGUUGCGGGACUUAACCCAACAUUUCACAACACGAGCUGACGACAGCCAUGCAGCACCUGUCUCACGGUUCCCGAAGGCACAUUCUCAUCUCUGAAAACUUCCGUGGAUGUCAAGACCAGGUAAGGUUCUUCGCGUUGCAUCGAAUUAAACCACAUGCUCCACCGCUUGUGCGGGCCCCCGUCAAUUCAUUUGAGUUUUAACCUUGCGGCCGUACUCCCCAGGCGGUCUACUUAACGCGUUAGCUCCGGAAGCCACGCCUCAAGGGCACAACCUCCAAGUAGACAUCGUUUACGGCGUGGACUACCAGGGUAUCUAAUCCUGUUUGCUCCCCACGCUUUCGCACCUGAGCGUCAGUCUUUGUCCAGGGGGCCGCCUUCGCCACCGGUAUUCCUCCAGAUCUCUACGCAUUUCACCGCUACACCUGGAAUUCUACCCCCCUCUACAAGACUCAAGCCUGCCAGUUUCGAAUGCAGUUCCCAGGUUGAGCCCGGGGAUUUCACAUCCGACUUGACAGACCGCCUGCGUGCGCUUUACGCCCAGUAAUUCCGAUUAACGCUUGCACCCUCCGUAUUACCGCGGCUGCUGGCACGGAGUUAGCCGGUGCUUCUUCUGCGGGUAACGUCAAUUGCUGCGGUUAUUAACCACAACACCUUCCUCCCCGCUGAAAGUACUUUACAACCCGAAGGCCUUCUUCAUACACGCGGCAUGGCUGCAUCAGGCUUGCGCCCAUUGUGCAAUAUUCCCCACUGCUGCCUCCCGUAGGAGUCUGGACCGUGUCUCAGUUCCAGUGUGGCUGGUCAUCCUCUCAGACCAGCUAGGGAUCGUCGCCUUGGUGAGCCGUUACCUCACCAACAAGCUAAUCCCAUCUGGGCACAUCUGAUGGCAAGAGGCCCGAAGGUCCCCCUCUUUGGUCUUGCGACGUUAUGCGGUAUUAGCCACCGUUUCCAGUAGUUAUCCCCCUCCAUCAGGCAGUUUCCCAGACAUUACUCACCCGUCCGCCACUCGUCAGCAAAGCAGCAAGCUGCUUCCUGUUACCGUUCGACUUGCAUGUGUUAGGCCUGCCGCCAGCGUUCAAUCUGAGCCAUGAUCAAACUCUUCAAUUUAAAAGUUUGAUGCUCAAUGAAUUAAACUUCGUAAUGAAUUACGUGUUCACUCUUGAGACUUGGUAUUCAUUUUUCGU
rnacentral:rRNA from 1 species